GCAUGCGCAGUAUCAACAGCUCAUUGGUUCUCGGACGCGUCCGAAAGAAACAGUUCUCAGUUCAGUGUACUGGUGAUUUGCUGUAUCGGUUCAGUAAUUCACGCAUGCGCAGUAUCAACAGCUCGCGCUCACAGUACUCUCAGCACAAAAUGUCUCAGUUCAGUAUACAGGAGUUACAUAUACUCCGGGAUAUUAGUUUAUUUAGUGUCGGCCCGACUGUCAGGCAUGACCGAAAGUGAGUAACUUUAGUAACUUGUGGAUCAGCGCUGAUUCAAGACGCGAACUGUUUAGAACGAAUCAGUCCGACUUGGUGAACCAGUUCAUCCAGUUCACUAAAAAGAACUGGUUCAAAAGAACGAUUCGUUCACGAACUGGCCAUCACUAUUAAUCAGUGUAUCUAGAAACAGGAGCGCCAUCAUGGCCCAUGGCAGAGGGACAGAGCCCCCAAAAAACCACAAUAUCAGGAGGAUGGUUUCCGGAAUACCUCCCGGAAAAUACUUUUUGCAGCUCAGGUGUCCUCAGUGAAAUUGUCCUACAGCUGCUUGUUUCCGGAGGUCAGGAGAGUGUUCUGUUCUGCUGAUGGAGACAACCUUCACUACAGCUGGACUUCUGCGUUUAACACUCGUUUGGAGGACAACAACAAAACUAUUGUACUGGAUAUAAUACAUAAUAAUAAUAAUGUCACCUGUCAUGUUGAAAAUCACGUCAGUCAUGAGCACAAUUCCAUUAACCUCCCGACAUGUAUUGAUUUCAUGAUCGUGUUUGUGCUCGUGUGGCUCUUUGAGGUCAUCAUCCUGCUGUCUGUGUUAGUGGGCUCACUGUACAUUUACCCCAGAAUCUACAGGAAACAGAGGACACCAGAGAGACCAGGAAGCUCUGUAACCCUGAACAAGGAUUAGAAGAGGCAGUCCGUGGCUGAUCUCCUCUAUAUGAGCAGGCAUCGCUCUCCGUCUCAUCCAGACUAAAACCUGAUAAAACUGUAACCAUUACCAUAACAGUGUAACAGUGCUAUCUGAUUACCAACCUUGCUAUUGCUCUCUGUUUU